GGAUGUGAGGAUAAGUUUUUGACACCCAGUCUUACCUGCUAUUUUGAUGCAUGGUGAAUGAUCGACUAUCUGAUCC